AGAAACCCUAAAUGCCUUAACUGCUACGUAUCGAAGAUUAUUGAGAUUAUAUGUCCAAUUUUGAUAAUGCUGCCGAAGAAGGCGCUAAGCAAGGAGGAGGCGGAGGCUAAAACGUCGGUAUGGUGGGACAUGGACAGCUUUCCGGAUCCUAGUGGGUAUGAUGCUGGAUUGCUGGUCAGAUCCGUGAGUGUAUAGAACGGAAGUUGCGGAAUUUAGGUUACACUGGUCCUGUCACCAUCUCUGCAUGUGGCGAGCUACAAAAAACCCAAGAGCACGUACUGCGAGCACUCUCUUCCACUGGAAUCAUUCUUAACCAAUCCUAUCGUCGUUAAUCUUCUUCUUCUUCUUCUAAUCUUUUUUUUAUACUACAUAUUACUAGUUUUUAGAUAUAUUCAAUCGGCUUGAGUUGCUGUCUUUUACUGAAACAGCUAUGACACACAUAUAAGAGGAUAAUAAAGUG